rnacentral:rRNA from 1 species
GUUGGCUACUAUGCCAGCUGGUGGAUUGCUCGGCUCAGGCGCUGAUGAAGGACGUGCCAAGCUGCGAUAAGCCAUGGGGAGCCGCACGGAGGCGAAGAACCAUGGAUUUCCGAAUGAGAAUCUCUAACAAUUGCUUCGCGCAAUGAGGAACCCCGAGAACUGAAACAUCUCAGUAUCGGGAGGAACAGAAAACGCAAUGUGAUGUCGUUAGUAACCGCGAGUGAACGCGAUACAGCCCAAACCGAAGCCCUCACGGGCAAUGUGGUGUCAGGGCUACCUCUCAUCAGCCGACCGUCUCGACGAAGUCUCUUGGAACAGAGCGUGAUACAGGGUGACAACCCCGUACUCGAGACCAGUACGACGUGCGGUAGUGCCAGAGUAGCGGGGGUUGGAUAUCCCUCGCGAAUAACGCAGGCAUCGACUGCGAAGGCUAAACACAACCUGAGACCGAUAGUGAACAAGUAGUGUGAACGAACGCUGCAAAGUACCCUCAGAAGGGAGGCGAAAUAGAGCAUGAAAUCAGUUGGCGAUCGAGCGACAGGGCAUACAAGGUCCCUCGACGAAUGACCGACGCGCGAGCGUCCAGUAAGACUCACGGGAAGCCGAUGUUCUGUCGUACGUUUUGAAAAACGAGCCAGGGAGUGUGUCUGCAUGGCAAGUCUAACCGGAGUAUCCGGGGAGGCACAGGGAAACCGACAUGGCCGCAGGGCUUGCCCGAGGGCCGCCGUCUUCAAGGGCGGGGAGCCAUGUGGACACGACCCGAAUCCGGACGAUCUACGCAUGGACAAGAUGAAGCGUGCCGAAAGGCACGUGGAAGUCUGUUAGAGUUGGUGUCCUACAAUACCCUCUCGUGAUCUAUGUGUAGGGGUGAAAGGCCCAUCGAGUCCGGCAACAGCUGGUUCCAAUCGAAACAUGUCGAAGCAUGACCUCCGCCGAGGUAGUCUGUGAGGUAGAGCGACCGAUUGGUCCUGUCAAACUCCAAACUUACAGACGCCGUUUGACGCGGGGAUUCCGGUGCGCGGGGUAAGCCUGUGUACCAGGAGGGGAACAACCCAGAGAUAGGUUAAGGUCCCCAAGUGUGGAUUAAGUGUAAUCCUCUGAAGGUGGUCUCGAGCCCUAGACAGCCGGGAGGUGAGCUUAGAAGCAGCUACCCUCUAAGAAAAGCGUAACAGCUUACCGGCCGAGGUUUGAGGCGCCCAAAAUGAUCGGGACUCAAAUCCACCACCGAGACCUGUCCGUACCACUCAUACUGGUAAUCGAGUAGAUUGGCGCUCUAAUUGGAUGGAAGUAGGGGUGAAAACUCCUAUGGACCGAUUAGUGACGAAAAUCCUGGCCAUAGUAGCAGCGAUAGUCGGGUGAGAACCCCGACGGCCUAAUGGAUAAGGGUUCCUCAGCACUGCUGAUCAGCUGAGGGUUAGCCGGUCCUAAGUCAUACCGCAACUCGACUAUGACGAAAUGGGAAACGGGUUAAUAUUCCCGUGCCACUAUGCAGUGAAAGUUGACGCCCUGGGGUCGAUCACGCUGGGCAUCGCCCAGUCGAACCGUCCAACUCCGUGGAAGCCGUAAUGGCAGGAAGCGGACGAACGGCGGCAUAGGGAAACGUGAUUCAACCUGGGGCCCAUGAAAAGACGAGCAUAGUGUCCGUACCGAGAACCGACACAGGUGUCCAUGGCGGCGAAAGCCAAGGCCUGUCGGGAGCAACCAACGUUAGGGAAUUCGGCAAGUUAGUCCCGUACCUUCGGAAGAAGGGAUGCCUGCUCCGGAACGGAGCAGGUCGCAGUGACUCGGAAGCUCGGACUGUCUAGUAACAACAUAGGUGACCGCAAAUCCGCAAGGACUCGUACGGUCACUGAAUCCUGCCCAGUGCAGGUAUCUGAACACCUCGUACAAGAGGACGAAGGACCUGUCAACGGCGGGGGUCUUAAGGUAGCGUAGUACCUUGCCGCAUCAGUAGCGGCUUGCAUGAAUGGAUUAACCAGAGCUUCACUGUCCCAACGUUGGGCCCGGUGAACUGUACAUUCCAGUGCGGAGUCUGGAGACACCCAGGGGGAAGCGAAGACCCUAUGGAGCUUUACUGCAGGCUGUCGCUGAGGACUCUCACUCCGGGAGGAGGACACCGAUAGCCGGGCAGUUUGACUGGGGCGGUACGCGCUCGAAAAGAUAUCGAGCGCGCCCUAUGGCUAUCUCAGCCGGGGACCCGGCGAAGAGUGCAAGAGCAAAAGAUAGCUUGACAGUGUUCUUCCCAACGAGGAACGCUGACGCGAAAGCGUGGUCUAGCGAACCAAUUAGCCUGCUUGAUGCGGGCAAUUGAUGACAGAAAAGCUACCCUAGGGAUAACAGAGUCGUCACUCGCAAGAGCACAUAUCGACCGAGUGGCUUGCUACCUCGAUGUCGGUUCCCUCCAUCCUGCCCGUGCAGAAGCGGGCAAGGGUGAGGUUGUUCGCCUAUUAAAGGAGGUCGUGAGCUGGGUUUAGACCGUCGUGAGACAGGUCGGCUGCUAUCUACUGGGUGUGUAGGUGUCUGACAAGAACGACCGUAUAGUACGAGAGGAACUACGGUUGGUGGCCACUGGUGUACCGGUUGUUCGAGAGAGCACGUGCCGGGUAGCCACGCCACACGGGGUAAGAGCUGAACGCAUCUAAGCUCGAAACCCACUUGGAAAAGAGACACCGCCGAGGUCCCGCGUACAAGACGCGGUCGAUAGACUCGGGGUGUGCGCGUCGAGGUAACGAGACGUUAAGCCCACGAGCACUAACAGACCAAAGCCAUCAU